GACGAACCGUCCAAACGUUAUUCGGAAUUACUGGGCUUAAAGGGUGCGUAGGCGGCGCGGUAAGUUGGGUGUGAAAUCCCUCGGCUCAACCGAGGAAUUGCGCCCAAUACUGUCGUGCUCGAGGGAGGCAGAGGUGAGCGGAACUGAUGGUGGAGCGGUGAAAUGCGUUGAUAUCAUCAGGAACACCAGUGGCGAAAGCGGCUCACUGGGCCUUUUUCUGACGCUGAGGCACGAAAGCUAGGGGAGCAAACGGG
rnacentral:misc_RNA from 1 species